rnacentral:tRNA from 1 species
GCGGAUGUGGUGGAAUCGGUAGACACGCACGCUUGAGGGGCGUGUGGCUUGUGCCAUGCGAGUUCAAGUCUCGCCGUCCGCA